rnacentral:rRNA from 1 species
AUUGAACGCUGGCGGCAUGCCUAACACAUGCAAGUCGAGCGAGCGGCGGACGGGUGAGUAAUGUAUGGGGACUGCCCGUUAGCUGGGGAUCACUGCUGGAAACGGUAGCUAAUACCGAAUACUAUCGGAUAACCCAUAUGGGAUUAGCUAGUAGGUGAGGUAAUGGCUCACCUAGGCGACGAUCCCUAGCUGGUCUGAGAGGAUGAUCAGCCACAGUGGGACGGAGACACGGCCCAGACUCCGACGGAGGCAGCAGUGGGGAAUAUUGCACAAUGGGCGAAAGCCUGAUGCAGCCAUGCCGCGUGUAUGAAGAAGGCCCUAGGGUUGUAAAGUACUUUCAGUCGGGAGGCGUUACCGACAUAAGAAGCACCGGCUAACUCCGUGCCAGCAGCCGCGGUAAUAC